ensembl:lncRNA
UGUAUACACAUCUGUAUUACCAAAUGUAAUUUUUUUUUUUUUACUGAAUUGAUUUAAUAAGUGCAAAUUUAAUCAAAUACACAAUUUAAUCAAAGUGAAAGUCAUGACAUUUGCCAAGUGUGGUAACCCAUACUCAGAAUUGGUGCUCUGCAUUUAACCCAUUCAAGUGCAUGCACUGUGAACACACACCCAGAGCAGUGGGCAGCUAUAUCCAGCACCUGGGGAGUCCUUCACUAGUAAAGGACUAUUUCCGGGACGGAUCGGGAGGUGCCAACAUCACAUAAAACCAUUAACUUAUUGUUAGUGUUAUUAUAACAACAGUAUUAUUAAAACUACAGAAAUUGCCGUAAAUUGUUUCGUCAUACAGACCGGAAGUAGACGCAUUUCCGCGCAUGCGUAGUGCAAAUCGUGUUUCCAGUACUGAUCGAGUAGUGACACGCAAGCUGUGUCCCAAACUUAAGUGCAUGGACUCCGAAGUGCGAAUGCGUCAAAGUGGCGCGACGAAGGGUGUCUCAAACUGAAGUGUGUGGACUCUGAAGUGCAAAUGUGAAGUGCGAUUGCGUCACAGCGUCACGACGUAAGCUGUCCCAAAGUCAGAAUGCGCACUUCGAAGACCGCAUUUGAAGUGCGAAUGCGUCACCGCGGCGCGACGAAGGCUUACGAAUUUCGAAAGCGACUUGCGCCCUUCAUUUCCCAUGAAAAUGAAGUGUACAUCUUAUGGACACUUCGCACCCUACCAUAUGCCAGAAUCACUUGCGUGCAUAUGACAAAGGUGUUUAUAUUCAGAGGCAGGUUUGAGUUCUGUGGAGGACUUCACAUUGAAAUGCAUGGUUUAUUUGUGAAGUGUCCUGAGACAGGUGAGGGAGCGAGUGGACAGGGAGGACAAUAAACUCAAACAAAUACAUUCUUCAUUAGCCAAGAGAAAACCGUGAGAAAAAAUGAGUACAUUACAGUUUUUCCAACAUAUUUUUUAAAUGUCAUAUUGUCAAUGAAACAACAUAGUUUCUGUGGUUUAUUUUGUGAUGCAAGUUAAAAAUGAAAUGCAUAAAUUGUAUACAUUAUUCAUUUUUUGUGUGUAAUUUAUUCGUAAAUACUUUCUAUACUAAAUACAAAUAUUCGAGUACUUUCUGUACAUUUUGUAUUUUUGUUUUGCAUAUUCACAUGUGUAAAUAAAAGAAAAGUGCUUAUGUACA